rnacentral:rRNA from 1 species
GACGAACGCUGGCGGCGUGCUUAACACAUGCAAGUCGAACGGACAGGCCCUGCUCUUGUGGGUUGCUCGAGUGGCGAACGGGUGUGUAACACGUGAGUAACCUGCCCUUGUCUUUGGGAUAACUUCAGGAAACUGGGGCUAAUACCGCAUAGGAGCUCCUGCUGCAUGUUGGGGGUUGGAAAGUUUCGGCGGUUGGGGCUGGACUCGCGGCUUAUCAGCUUGUUGGUCGGGUAGUGGCUGACCAAGGCUUUGACGGGUAGCCGGCCUGAGAGGGGGACCGGCGACAUGGGGCCUGAGAGACGGCCCAGACUCCUACGUGAGGCAGCGGGGGGGAAUAUUGCACAAUGGGCGGAAGUGUGAGACAGCAACCCCGCGUGCGGGAUAACGGGCUUCGGGUUGUAAACCGCUUUCGCCUGAGACGAAGCGUGAGUGACGGUAAUGGGUAAGGAAGCACCGGCUAACUACGUG